UACGUAGGGUGCAAGCGUUGUCCGGAAUUAUUGGGCGUAAAGAGCUCGUAGGCGGUUCGUCGCGUCGGCUGUGAAAACCCGGAGCUCAACUCCGGGCCUGCAGUCGAUACGGGCGGACUCGAGUUCGGCAGGGGAGACUGGAAUUCCUGGUGUAGCGGUGAAAUGCGCAGAUAUCAGGAGGAACACCGGUGGCGAAGGCAGUGGUCUGGGCCGAUACUGACGCUGAGGAGCGAAAGCGUGGGGAGCGAACAGG
rnacentral:rRNA from 1 species